UAAAUUGUUGUUUUGCUUUUUAUAUUUUUAUUCAUACUUUUAUUGAAAAAUCUUUUUUUGAAGUAUAUUUAUAGAAUUUAUUAGUUUUGCGAUAGUUUAUUUGUACUGUUAAGGUUUAUCUUUUAAUUUUUUAUAAGUAUAUAUUUUUGUAUUACCUUUUGUAUCAGGGUUUAUUAAUUAAGUAUUAUAUAUAAUAAUAUUUCCCGAAGUUAGAAGAGUUAACUCUAUAUGAUUUUUUAUGUUUCAUAAUAAUUUUUAAUUUGGGGUUAGGGGUUAUAUGCUAUUCAAUUUUAAAUAUCUGGUUUCUUAAUAAUUGAAUUUAAUUCAUUAUCAUCAAGGUUAUUUUAUAUAUUUAUUUUUAAUAAUUUGUUGAUUUAAUAUGGUAGGGGAUUAGCUCUACUUUAAUUUUUAUAAUUAUAUAUUUUAUACAACUUUUGUAGGCUUAAUAGCAGCUUUCUUUGAUUUCGUUAUAGAUUCAGGUUGUUUUGGUUUUUAUUUAGUAAAAUUUAGAUUUUUAUUGAGAAUUUUUAUUUAAUGAAUUUUUAUAAGUUAUAAUGAUAAAAUUAGUAGUUUUUUAUUUUAGGUAUAGGAACUCGGCAAAUCUUAUUUUCGCCUGUUUAACAAAAACAUGUCCUAUAGAUUAUAAUUUUAGGUCUGGCCUGCUCAAUGAUUUAUUUUAAUAGCCGCAGUAUAUUAACUGUGCAAAGGUAGCAUAAUCAUUUGUCUUUUAAUUGGAGGCUUGUAUGAAUGGUUGGACGAAAAAUGGACUUUCUUUACUUAAUUUAUUUUGAAUUUAAUUUUUUAGUUAAAAAGCUAAAAUUUAUUUGUAAGACGAGAAGACCCUAUAGAAUUUUACUUUUUUAAUGUUUUGAUUUUCAUUAAUUUUAUAAUUCAUUAUAUUUUAUAUAAGUUUGGUUGGGGUGACUUUGAAAUUUAAUUAACUUUCAUUUUUAAAUUAAUCAUUAAUUGAUGUUUUGUUGAUCCUUUAUUAUGGAUUAUAAGAUUAAAUUACCUUAGGGAUAACAGCGUAAUCUCUUUGGAGAGUUCAUAUCGAUGAAGAGGAUUGCGACCUCGAUGUUGGAUUAAAAUUAGAUUUAGGUGUAGCAGCUUAAUUUCUAGGUCUGUUCGACCUUUGAAUUUUUACAUGAUCUGAGUUCAGACCGGCGUAAGCCAGGUUGGUUUCUAUCUACAAUUUUCAUAAAAUACCUUAGUACGAAAGGACCUGGUAUUUAUAAUAUUUAUUGGAUUUUGAUUAUUAUU
rnacentral:rRNA from 1 species